rnacentral:rRNA from 1 species
UACGUAGGUGGCAAGCGUUAUCCGGAAUUAUUGGGCGUAAAGUGCGCGCAGGCGGUCCUUUAAGUCUGAUGUGAAAGCCCACGGCUCAACCGUGGAGGGUCAUUGGAAACUGGGAGACUUGAGUGCAGAGGAGGAAAGUGGAAUUCCAUGUGUAGCGGUGAAAUGCGUAGAGAUAUGGAGGAACACCAGUGGCGAAGGCGACUUUCUGGUCUGCAACUGACACUGAGGCGCGAAAGCGUGGGGAGCAAACAGG